UACGUAGGGGGCAAGCGUUGUCCGGAAUCAUUGGGCGUAAAGCGCGUGUAGGCGGCUCGGUAAGUCCGCUCUGAAAGUCCAGGGCUCAACCCUGGGAUGCGGGUGGAUACUGCCGGGCUCGAGUCCGGAAGAGGCGAGUGGAAUUCCCGGUGUAGAGGUGAAAUUCGUAGAUAUCGAGAGGAACACCGGUGGCGAAGGCGGCUUCCUGGACAGUGACUGACGCUGAGACGCGAAAGCGUGGGGAGCAAACAGG
rnacentral:rRNA from 1 species